UACGAAGGGGGCUAGCGUUGCUCGGAAUCACUGGGCGUAAAGCGCACGUAGGCGGCUUUCUAAGUCAGGGGUGAAAUCCUGGAGCUCAACUCCAGAACUGCCUUUGAUACUGGAGAGCUCGAGUCCGGAAGAGGUGAGUGGAACUGCGAGUGUAGAGGUGAAAUUCGUAGAUAUUCGCAAGAACACCAGUGGCGAAGGCGGCUCACUGGCCCGGUACUGACGCUGAGGCGCGAAAGCGUGGGGAGCAAACAGG
rnacentral:rRNA from 1 species